UAAAUCCAAAAAAAUAUAUAUAUAAAAUUAAUUAAAUAUAAUUAAAGAAUUAAGAUAUUUAAACAUAAAAAUAUGGAUAUGGGGGCUUAUGUGGAUGUGAAGUUUAUGUGGAGGGGCUUGAUGAUUGGAGGGAAUUUUUUUAGACAUUAUACAAGUAUUUUGGGCUCCUUGUACUUUUUAAAAUCCUUACGGUAUUUGUCUUUCAGGAAAACAUUGAACUUCUUCAAAAUGAACUGAGAAAUCCAAAGUAUCAGGUUUAUUUUAUAUAUUUUAGCAAUGUUGUUAGCAAGAGUGAUGUAAAGGUAUUAGCAGAAGCAGAUGAACAGGAGGUAGUCCGUGAAGUUCAGGAAUUCUAUGGAGAUUACAUCGCAGUAAGCCCUCAUGUCUGCACACUCAACCUUAAUGGAAUCUAUAGGGGAAUAGGCUGGAAUCCUAAGUCAUUAAACCGCGCUUGUUCCGGAUUGACAGCUAUCUUACUGUCACUCAAAAAAUGCCCCAUGAUCCGGUAUCAAAACUC